AACAACUCUCAGCAACGGAUAUCUUGGCUCUUGCAACGAUGAAGAACGCAGCGAAAUGCGAUACGUAGUGUGAAUUGCAGAAUUCCGCGAAUCAUCGAGUCUUUNAACGCAAGUUGCGCCCGAGGCUUGUCCGAGGGCAUUUCCGCUAGAGCGUCACCG
rnacentral:rRNA from 1 species